rnacentral:rRNA from 1 species
AUAGAGAAGCUUGCUUUUUCUAGGCGUCGACCGGCGCACGGGUGAGUAACGCGUAUCCAUUCUGCGCAUCACUUGGGGAUAACCUUGCGAAAGGAAGACUUUUACCCAAUGAUGUCCAUAGAAGACAUCUGAAAUGGAUUAAAGAUUUAUCGGUGAUGGAUGGGGAUGCGUCUGAUUAGCUUGUUGGCGGGGUAACGGCCCACCAAGGCAACGAUCAGUAGGGGUUCUGAGAGGAAGGUCCCCCACAUUGGAACUGAGACACGGUCCAAACUCCUACGGGAGGCAGCAGUGAGGAAUAUUGGUCAAUGGGCGAGAGCCUGAACCAGCCAAGUAGCGUGCAGGAAGACGGCCCUAUGGGUUGUAAACUGCUUUUAUAAGGGAAUAAAGUGAGCCUCGUGAGGCUUUUUGCAUGUACCUUAUGAAUAAGGACCGGCUAAUUCCGUGCCAGCAGCCGCGGUAAUACGGAAGGUCCGGGCGUUAUCCGGAUUUAUUGGGUUUAAAGGGAGCGUAGGCCGGAGAUUAAGCGUGUUGUGAAAUGUAGACGCUCAACGUCUGCACUGCAGCGCGAACUGGUUUCCUUGAGUACGCACAAAGUGGGCGGAAUUCGUGGUGUAGCGGUGAAAUGCUUAGAUAUCACGAAGAACUCCGAUUG